UACGUAGGGGGCUAGCGUUGUCCGGAAUCAUUGGGCGUAAAGAGCGUGUAGGCGGUCCGGUAAGUCCGCUGUGAAAGUCGGGGGCUCAACCCUCGAAUGCCGGUGGAUACUGUCGGGCUAGAGUACGGAAGAGGCGAGUGGAAUUCCUGGUGUAGCGGUGAAAUGCGCAGAUAUCAGGAGGAACACCGGUGGCGAAGCGGGUCUCUGGGCCGAUACUGACGCUGAGGAGCGAAAGCGUGGGGAGCGAACAGG
rnacentral:rRNA from 1 species